UACGUAGGGACCAAGCGUUGUUCGGAUUUACUGGGCGUAAAGGGCGCGUAGGCGGCUUAACAAGUCACUUGUGAAAUCUCCGGGCUUAACUCGGAACGGCCAAGUGAAACUGUCAAGCUAGAGUGCAAAAGGGGCAAUCGGAAUUCUUGGUGUAGCGGUGAAAUGCGUAGAUAUCAAGAGGAACACCUGAGGUGAAGACGGGUUGCUGGGCUGACACUGACGCUGAGGCGCGAAAGCCAGGGGAGCAAACGGG
rnacentral:rRNA from 1 species